rnacentral:rRNA from 1 species
AGAGUUUGAUCAUGGCUCAGGAUGAACGCUGGCGGCGUGCCUAACACAUGCAAGUCGAACGAAGCUCCUGCGACAGAUUCCUUCGGGAUGAAGAUGCUUGAGACUUAGUGGCGGACGGGUGAGUAACGCGUGGGUAACCUGCCCUGUACUGGGGGACAACAGUUAGAAAUGACUGCUAAUACCGCAUAAGCCUACGGAGUCGCAUGACUCAGCAGGAAAAAUUCCGGUGGUACAGGAUGGGCCCGCGUCUGAUUAGCUAGUUGGUGAGGUAAUGGCUUACCAAGACGACGAUCAGUAGCCGGCUUGAGAGAGUGAACGGCCACAUUGGGACUGAGACACGGCCCAAACUCCGUACGGAGGCA